rnacentral:lncRNA from 1 species
UAACUUUCAUUAUUAUCAUUUUUUGGCAAACACUCCCAUUAUUAAAAUACUUUAUAAAUAUUUUAAAAUUUAAUUUUUAUAUAUUUGUGCAUUUGGAAGGUAUAAUGAUUUCGUUCCCACAAUUUCAAAUUCAUAGCACUAGUGAACUGAUUUGCUGCAAAAGGAGGCGAUAAGUGCAUGCCAAUAUACAUAAUAAUGUUACUAAAAAGGUAAGCUAGUCCAUUCUACUUUCUAUACCUGUAAAUUAUGAAAUCUUCUCAAUCAAGAAUAACAGUACAUGGUAUCAAAAUCAAGCAUAAUUAUUCAGGUGUUGAAUUGAAUUUAGAGGAGGCCAAAUGAUGCUUAGGGUGUUUGGGUCUGGGGGAAGCUUGGAGGGGAGCGGGGAACGUAAGAUAUCCAGGUUGUUGGGUCUCCCGGGUUAAAGCCAGGUGGGGGAGGAGGAGCUGGUAAGUAGUAGGAUCUCCUAGAUUAAAUGCAGGUGGAGGGGGUGGAACAAAAAGAGAUGGGCUAGGACGGAAGGGAGGGUGAGGGGAGAAAGGGAAAGGCAAAGAUGGUGGAUUGGGAUGUGGAGUGGGAUAGGGCAAGCGAGGAAAGGGCCAUGAUGGCAAAGGUGGCAUGGGAGGGAAUGGGAAUGAUGAAAGGGGAGGUAACGAGGGAAAUGGCUAAGGGAAUCCAAAUUCUGGGAAAGGAAAGGAGUUCAAAGAAGUUGAGGACAGCUCUUCAGGGGUAAAGUUACCUAGGAGUUAAAUUUUAUUUUUCUUUUUAAAAAAAAUUAAGUAAAUAUGUUUUUGUAUAAUAGACCAAAAAAUAAAUUAAUUUUUUUAUUAAAAAUUUAAUAUAUUUUUAUUGUUAAAAACUGAUAUAAAUGACAAAAUAACUAAUACAGUAUACCUUAUUUUGACCUACAAUAAUUAAUUUUUAAUAAUAAAAAUAAAUAAAAUUAUUAAUAAAAAGAUUAAUUUGUUCUUCAAUUUAAUAUAUAAAAAUAUAAUUUACUUAUUUUUAAAAAAUAAAAAUAAAAUACAAUCUAACUCUUAACAAAUAACUUCCAAUAUUUUUACCACUGUUUGUGAUUUCUACACAGGGUGGCAUUUCUCUUGGAAGGCCUGUAACUCAGUGCAUUCAAGCUGUAGAUGCACAGAUUAUCUUGUUUUGAUUUGACAGUUAUCUGAUUUGUGGAUGUCUUCAAACCUGGUACAUCGCAUGCUUUGGAUUUGCUCCCUACUAAACUUG